CCGAGAUAUUUUCUUCUCUCUCCUCGUCGCCACCAGCUUUUUGAUUCCUCUCUCUCAAUCCGCGGGAAAAAAGGAAAGCUGAAAGUCACAUGGAAAAAAUCCAUUGCGUCUCUCUCUGUUUUUCUUCUUCUAACUAUGAUCUCGUCGGAAUUCUUCGUCGUGUUUCUAGGUUUUGAGUUGUUGCUUCUUGUUUGGAAUCAUCCAUGGCGAUUUCCUGAUUCGGACGUCUCGAUAUAUCAUUUACUUUAUUGAUCAUGUGGGACUGUAGCACCAGGGACAUUGCAUCCAUGCUAUUUUCUACAUAUCAGUUGGUUUCUAGAGAACUAAUUGAGAAAUCGAUGUCUGCAAUACUUACUCAUUAUCUAUGGAAACUUUGACGUUGUGAUAGGUGAAAGCUUGGGCUGUUGAUGGUUGGCCACGACGAAAAUGGGUGUGAAAUGAAAGCAAAGUGUAAUGGAAGGAAAAGAGCCAGCAAUGGCUUGCUAGUUUCAAAACUUCACCAAGUCACACGUCAAGUUUAGGCAGGGUACCUCUCUUCAAAAGGUAAGGGGUUGGGUAGGUUUAUUAAAAAGAGCUCAAAGUUUAUAUUGAACCAGUUAAUAAAAGCUUGUAUUGUUUUUGCGUGUGAAAAAGGCUUAAAUUUAUUGCAAUCUAUAUCUAAUGUGUGUGAUACUAUGUUAUCUCUGAAAUGUAAUAGUUAUAUUCUUGAUUUAUGUCUCAUAUUUGCUCUUAAACUAGGUUUAUGUCUAGCACAAUUCUAGUUUACGUAUAUGGCUAAAUAAUUUGUAAGUGGGUCUUUCUUUUGAUAUUGAAUUCAUGGUGCUUAUGCAUGUUAUCAAUCAGGUAUUCUGGUGUUAGAGCUUUACAUGCUUACAAAGUUGCCAUCUGGACAUUUUGUGAAGCAAGGAGCAAUGCAAAUUUAUUCACUCUUGUAUUUACUUUGGUAGUUUUUAUUUUCUGUUUCCUUUCACGUUUUUCUAAUUUACUUGUAGGUUAUAAUUACUUAUCGCUCAUGUUAGUACUGGUGAUUCCUCUUGUAUGUAUACCUUGAUCUUGUGCUAUGGAGCAUGUCUGGAUUUAUAGUCUGGACCUUUACAUGCUUACAAAGUUACAAUCUGGAUCUUUUUGUGAAGCAAGGAACAAUGCAAAUUUAUUCAGUCUGGUAUUCAUUUACUUUGGUGGUUUUUAUUUCUGUUUUCCUUUCACGUUUUUCUUAUUUACUUGUAGGUUAUAAUUACUUAUCGCUCAUGUUAGUACCAGCGAAUUCCUCUUGUGUGUAUACCUUGACAUUGUGCUAUGGAGGAUGUCUGGAUUUAUAAUUUCUACUAUAUUGUGUAUCGUACACAUUUUGUUCUCUAUAUUUAAUCUUUCAGAUGCCGAAGUUUUCAUUUCUGUGCUGUAUAUUCAUGUCAAACCAGUUUACAGCCUUACAAUCAGGAAGCUGUAGAUGGACGGGAGCAGGCAUACUGUAUCUAUUGGUGAUAGUGAAUUGAUGAACUGAGCUACUGCUCGUUUUAUCCACUUCCAUUGGUCCAUAGGCCUGGUACACAAAAAACGCAGUCAUGAUUGAGGAGGGGACUUGAAUCCCCCAUUUUGGGAUAAAAUAAAAGUUAUGUGGUAAUCUUGUUUCUUUUCAAUGUUGUGGGGGAUUUUACUAGAGAGAAAUAGCAGAAUACGGAAGUCGAGAGAUCCUAGGAGGACAAUUUAGUUAGGGAUUGGACCUUUUUUUUUUAUUAUUAUUAUUUUUUAAUGUGGGUGGACUUGUUUCCUUUGUAUGCCAUUGUAUACUCUUUAAUUUUUUUUUAAAUGAAAGUUUGGUUUUUUACCCAAAAAUAAAUAAAGUAAAAAAUGAAGCAUUUCAACAUAAGUUUUGGAUCUCUACCUUCAUUUGCAGUUCUGCAUUUUCCUUACGAAUCAUAUCUAAUUUCUUGUAGAGUUCCACAUUUUCUUGAUGCAUAUGAUUCCCCUGCAACAUAAUUAUUGCAAAUUAGCUGUUGUUUCAGCACUUCUUCAUAUAAUGAGAUACAUGAAUAUUUACAGUGGGGAAAACCUUCUGUCUUAGUUCAGUAAUUUCAUCACUUAAAAUCUUUUCCUGCAAGAAAAAUACAAGAACACAUAAACAUCCGCAUACAAUAUGCUUUAUCAGGUGUAUGUUUUUAUUGAGGUCUCUUCAUAGUUUAUACCUUCUUCACACGGACACCUUUCAAACUCAUUUCCAACUGGCUUUCCAGAUUUUGUAGAUCUUUGACACUCAGGCCAGAUAGUUCCUCACCCAUCAGGUGUCUGCAAAUAUAGGAGUGUGGAUAUAUUAUGAACUCCUUUUCAUAUUUACGUAAACUAUUGAAUUAUAUUAUUAUUCCUCAUCGAUUCAGACUUGAAUUAUUUCAUUUUAUCUCUCGGUCAUUAGCAUGCCUUAAUUAUGAUAUAGAGCAUGGAUGGUAACGUAAGGUGUCAAUAAAAUGUUAAGUUUUCCACAUUUUAUCAUGAUUAUCUAAUUAUCAGUCUAAUUUUAAAGAACCAAGGAAUGUGUGAUUUUCUACAACUCAUGCUUAAAAUAUAUUUUGAAGUUACCACUUACCAUAUAAAGUUAUUCUAGCCCUGACGAUUGGAAGAGGAUUUAGAACCUUCUAAUAUUGGUAGGCCAGUGUUUGCUGUUGGACGUUUGCUCAUGAAGGCAAUCAGAAUGAAGGAUGGGAUAGUAGAGUUUGACUAAAAUUAAAAUUAUCAAAUGGUUUUCUGUUGAGAAAAUUCAUGAGGUCGAGCAUUGAGGAAGAACUAAUCAACCUUUUCAUGAACAAUAUUAGAAGUUUUUUGAUCUUGGUCAGGUCCCACUUUUGAGAAAAUAGUAAAAGUUUUUUAAUCUUGUUUGAUUCACUGUGGACUAUCUGAUACUAUUUGAUUUGGAAUCAACUUCUAUCUCUCUUUCAUACCAAAAAUUUUAGGAAAAAUAUCAAUUACUACCCUUAAACUUUAUGGGUUGUAUCAAUUUAAACUUUGAAGUAAUAAUUUUUUCCGGAUGGUGGCUCAAAGAUAAGGCUAGAGUCUUGUGGAGUAAUGCUUGUAGAGCUUCCCUCUAGGCUCUUUGGAAGGAAAGGAAUAUAAGAUUGUUCUUAGAUAAGACCUUUACUUCCAAUAUCUUUUUGUGAAAAUGUCCUACUGCCUCCUCUUGGAGUGCUCUAUAUAGUUCUUUUUGAACACACAGCGUGCUCUCAUUCUUUUAGAUUGGAGGCCCUCACUCUUUUGAUCCUCCAGUUUUUGGUUUAGGGACCCCAGGCCUUUUGUCUGUGGUUCUCUCUCUCUUCUGUUUAACGUAAAGUUUCUCCAUUUCUAAAGAAAAGGGAAAUCCAAGAACAUUCUGAAUUUGCCAAUUCCAGUUGAAAUACAAGCUCCAAGCUAUGGACUGCCCAGGAAGUCUGAGAUUCCGGAGCUCCCUCUCCACUCUCUUUCCCUGUGUUGAUCCCAACAGAAAAGUGACAACUGACAAAAGACACUCCUACACCUGUCAGCUUAUUUCUUCCAACACUAAAUUGUAAUUGAUUAUUUUCAUUUUCAAUCAAGUAUUGAUUCAUCAUCACCCUGCUCUGAACCAUUGUUCUACCAUUCAUUCUGCUCAUGAGUUAAAUGGUCUAUCUCAUGUUUGUGCGUGCACACAUACAGUCCAUAUAAUGUGAAUGUCACAGUCUACAUGUUUUGAUCAUUUGAUCUUCACUCAGCUUUUUCGUGUGUGGUGGCGAUUCAAACACACAAUGAUAUCCAACGAAGUUAUCGAUCUUGUUUGUCUUGUUUCAAGUUUCCUACAUGCUAUAUAUGUAUAUGUAUAUAAUCAGAAACCAUUCUUUCAUACAGGAAAAAUGAAAGAGUACUGGGGUAGUGAUACACCAAAACUCAACCUUCAGAAGGAGCCAAACAAAUAUAACAUGGGACUUCAAUCAAGCAAAAUAAGAGUUAGAAGAUUAUUACAAACAACAUAUACUCAUUGAGGCUCGUAGAGAGGUAUGAACCUAACAAGUGACCAAACUUCUUCCAAGCUCUUCAAUUGGUCUAAAAAUUGUAUCAUGACACUUACAUUCUGAAUAUAAAAUAAUUCUCAUGUACUUAAGUUGUGUUCUAUUUCUAGUUGGAAUGUACUUCAGUUGUUCUUAUGCCUAAUUGAAAUGGCACAUGCAAUUAUUGAUGUGUA